rnacentral:tRNA from 1 species
GGCGAGGUGCCUGAUUAAAGGGUUGUUAUGAUGUAACAAAUUAAGACUUAGAAGUUUCUCGCUU